rnacentral:misc_RNA from 1 species
GAUGAAGAACGUAGCGAAAUGCGAUAAGUAAUGUGAAUUGCAGAAUUCAGUGAAUCAUCGAAUCUUUGAACGCACAUUGCGCCCGCCAGUAUUCUGGCGGGCAUGCCUGUUCGAGCGUCAUUACAACCCUCAGGCCCCCGGGCCUGGCGUUGGGGAUCGGCGGAGCCCCCCGUGGGCACACGCCGUCCCCCAAAUGAAGUGGCGGUCCCGCCGCAGCUUCCAUCGCGUAGUAGCUAACACCUCGCGACUGGAGAGCGGCGCGGCCACGCCGUAAAACACCCAACUCUUCUGAAGUUGACCUCGAAUCAGGUAGGAAUACCCGCUGAACUUAAGCAUAUCAAUAAGCGGAGGA